rnacentral:rRNA from 1 species
UUCCGGUUGAUCCCGCCGGACCCGACUGCUAUCGGAUUGAGAUUAAGCCAUGCGAGUUAUACGCCUUUCGUCUGUGAGAGGUGUGGCACACGGCUCAGUAACACGUUGCCAACCUACCCUGAAGACGCAAAUAACCCCGGGAAACUGGGACUAAUGUGUGAUAGGUCAUUUCUCCUGGAAUGGGUUAUGACUGAAAGGGUUGUGGAAGCAUGUUUUCACAAUUGCUCUAGGAUGGGGCAGCGUCCGAUCAGGUUGUUGGUGGGGUAACGGCCCACCAAGCCUGUAACCGGUGCGGGCUUUGAGAGAAGGAGCCCGGAGAUGGACACUGAGACAAGGGUCCAGGCCCUACGGGGCGCAGCAGGCGCGAAAACUUCGCAAUGUGCGAAAGCGCGACGAGGUUAAUCCGAGUGCCGCCCGCUGAGGGCGGCUUUUCUCAGGUGUAAAUGGUCUGAGGAAUAAGGGGAGGGAAAGCCUGGUGUCAGCCGCCGCGGUAAUACCAGCUCCCCGAGUGGUCGGGACGUUUAUUGGGCCUAAAGCAUCCGUAGCCCGCCCUGUUGGUCCCAGGUUAAAUCCAAUCGCUCAACGAUUGGGCCGCAUGGGAUACCGCAGGGCUAGGAGGCGGGAGAGGCGGACGGUACUCCGCGGGUAGGGGUAAAAUCCACUGAUCCGCGGAAGACCACCAGUGGCGAAGGCGGUCCGCCAGAACGCGCUCGACGGUGAGGGAUGAAAGCUGGGGGAGCAAACCGGAUUAGAUACCCGGGUAGUCCCAGCUGUAAACGAUGCGAGCUAGGUGAUGGAGUGGCUACGUGCCAUUCCAGUGCCGCAGGGAAGCCGUUAAGCUCGCCGCCUGGGGAGUACGGUCGCAAGGCUGAAACUUAAAGGAAUUGGCGGGGGAGCACCACAAGGGGUGAAGCCUGCGGUUCAAUUGGAUUCAACGCCGG